GAUGAACGCUGGCGGCGUGCCUAAUACAUGCAAGUCGAGCGAACGGGCGAGAAGCUUGCUUCUCUGAUGUUAGCGGCGGACGGGUGAGUAACACGUGGAUAACCUACCUAUAAGACUGGGAUAACUUCGGGAAACCGGAGCUAAUACCGGAUGAUAUUUUGAACCGCAUGGUUCAAAAGUGAAAGACGGUCUUGCUGUCACUUAUAGAUGGAUCCGCGCUGCAUUAGCUAGUUGGUAAGGUAACGGCUUACCAAGGCAACGAUGCAUAGCCGACCUGAGAGGGUGAUCGGCCACACUGGAACUGAGACACGGUCCAGACUCCUACGGGAGGCAGCAGUAGGGAAUCUUCCGCAAUGGGCGAAAGCCUGACGGAGCAACGCCGCGUGAGUGAUGAAGGUCUUAGGAUCGUAAAACUCUGUUAUUAGGGAAGAACAUAUGUGUAAGUAACUGUGCACAUCUUGACGGUACCUAAUCAGAAAGCCACGGCUAACUACGUG
rnacentral:rRNA from 1 species